rnacentral:rRNA from 1 species
CAGCCGUAAACAAUGUGCGUUAGGUGUGUCGGUAACCACGUGUUACUGAUGCGCCGAAGAGAAAUCGUGAAACGCGCCACCUGGGAAGUACGGUCGCAAGGCUGAAACUUAAAGGAAUUGGCGGGGGAGCACCACAACAGGUGGAGCCUGCGGUUUAAUUGGAUUCAACGCCGGACAUCUCACCGGAUAAGACAGCUGAAUGAUUGUCAAUCUGAAGGUUUUACAUGACUAGCUGAGAGGUGGUGCAUGGCGUCAGUGACU